AGCCCUUUUGCAGAAGGAUGGGAGUUGAGGGGCAGGAGACACUGUCCUCAGCUAGGAAAAGGGUGAGAAUUAAUCGCUUCUCUGAGUGGGCCGUGGUGGAAUAGAGCCCCCCAGCUGCUGGAGGUGGAACUGCAGCUGUCUGAUACUAGCGCUGGAAGAGAGCCCAGCCCCCAAAGCUAAGGGGAGACACAGCUCAAAGAAAACACAGCCUGCGACAGGCAGAGGCCCCAUGGAGUGCUAGAACGGGAAACAUUUUUUGUAAACACUGUUCUCUUCUCUCUACUCAUCGCCUUUAUUUCCACUCUACCUCAUACCAUGUCUGUCUCAUCCUGAUGUUAAGGCCAAAGAGCCGGUUAAGACAGGAAAACCUGUAUCUGGAAACGUAUUCACCUGCUUUGUGCUAAAAUGCUCCAGAAGUAUGGAGCGUGGCCUUCUGAUAAGGGUAAGAGUUGGGAAGGAUACAUUGAAAUCUACAUUUGCCUACCCCACCCCUGUGCCUGCCCCUCUUUUCCUCUGCCCCUCCCUGAAAACCGAAGAAAAACAUGCAUGCUAAUUGAACCCUCUGAGCUACACCCCCCACUCUUUUUACUUCUUAAUAUUUUGAGACAUCUCACUAAGUUGCCAAGGCAGGUGUUGAAUUUUGACUUUUAGUGUCUUAGCUUCCCCUCUAUCACAGAUCUGGAAUUAAGACAUGGCAUAGGGACUCAUUUG
rnacentral:lncRNA from 1 species